rnacentral:rRNA from 1 species
AACGAACGCUGGCGGCAUGCCUAACACAUGCAAGUCGAACGAUCCCUUCGGGGAUAGUGGCGCACGGGUGCGUAACGCGUGGGAACCUGCCCUUAGGUUCGGAAUAACUCAGAGAAAUUUGAGCUAAUACCGGAUAAUGUAUUCGGACCAAAGAUUUAUCGCCUUUGGAUGGGCCCGCGUUGGAUUAGCUAGUUGGUGGGGUAAAGGCCUACCAAGGCGACGAUCCAUAGCUGGUCUGAGAGGAUGAUCAGCCACACUGGGACUGAGACACGGCCCAGACUCCUACGGAAGGGAGCAGUGGGUAAUAUUGGACAAGGGGCGAAGGCCUGAUCCAGCAAUGCCGGGUGAGUGAUGAAGGCCGUAGGGUAGUAAAGCUCUUUUACCCGGGAUGAUAAUGACGGUACCGGGAGAAUAAGCCCCGUCUAACUCCGUG